CUACCCUAUCUCUGUCUCUCCAAAUCCCACUCUCUGCUCUUCUCCCUGUUUCGUCUGCAACCUUUCUCAAAUCAAAAUUAUCAUUUUUCUUUCCAAUGAAUUUCCUAGAACCAUCAGAUCCGCUGAGCUGCAGAAACACCUAUUGAGAUUGUUCGUGUUGGAAACAGAAGAAAUAUAUGAUUGAUGGAGUUGAAGUUUGCAUCUGCUGGAGGUCGACAAAUAUUAUUGCGCAGAGUUGAUCCUUUGCUUUGAUUGUGAAUUCUAGUGGAAAAAGCUUCUUCAGUUACUUGUACAAGGAGAGAAGGGGUUUGUGGUUUGCUGUGUAAAUAAAUGUAAAUACUUAGACUUUAAUGUUUUGGUAUCUGGUUGUAUAGCUUGUAUAAGGAUGAAUUGAAUAUAAAAAUGGAUACUAUUUUUGUUUGGGAGGAGAGACCACUGGGGGAUUGCCCCAGGGCUCUUCCUCCUCUGUGUGUGUGUGUGUGUGAUAGGUGCUUUCUUUCUCUCAUUUCUUUUCCUCUCAAUAUCCUCUCUUCAAUCUUUCUCUUA